rnacentral:rRNA from 1 species
AUUGAACGCUGGCGGCAUGCCUUACACAUGCAAGUCGAACGGUAACAGGUCUUCGGAUGCUGACGAGUGGCGAACGGGUGAGUAAUACAUCGGAACGUGCCCGAUCGUGGGGGAUAACGGAGCGAAAGCUUUGCUAAUACCGCAUACGAUCUACGGAUGAAAGCAGGGGACCGCAAGGCCUUGCGCGGACGGAGCGGCCGAUGGCAGAUUAGGUAGUUGGUGGGAUAAAAGCUUACCAAGCCGACGAUAUGUAGCUGGUCUGAGAGGACGACCAGCCACACUGGGACUGAGACACGGCCCAGACUCCUACGGGAGGCAGCAGUGGGGAAUUUUGGACAAUGGGCGAAAGCCUGAUCCAGCCAUGCCGCGUGCAGGAUGAAGGCCUUCGGGUUGUAAACUGCUUUUGUACGGAACGAAAAGACUCUUUCUAAUAAAGAGGGUCCAUGACGGUACCGUAAGAAUAAGCACCGGCUAACUACGUG